GAUGAACGCUGGCGGCGUGCCUAAUACAUGCAAGUCGAGCGAACGGACGAGAAGCUUGCUUCUCUGAUGUUAGCGGCGGACGGGUGAGUAACACGUGGAUAACCUACCUAUAAGACUGGGAUAACUUCGGGAAACCGGAGCUAAUACCGGAUAAUAUUUUGAACCGCAUGGUUCAAAAGUGAAAGACGGUCUUGCUGUCACUUAUAGAUGGAUCCGCGCUGCAUUAGCUAGUUGGUAAGGUAACGGCUUACCAAGGCAACGAUGCAUAGCCGACCUGAGAGGGUGGUCGGCCACCCUGGAACUGGGACACGGACCAGACUCCUACGGGAGGCAGCAGUAGGGAAUCUUCCGCAGUGGGCGAAAGCCUGACGGAGCAGCGCCGCGUGAGUGAUGAAGGUCUUCGGAUCGUAAAACUCUGUUAUUAGGGAAGAACAUAUGUGUAAGUAACUGUGCACAUCUUGACGGUACCUAAUCAGAAAGCCACGGCUAACUACGUG
rnacentral:rRNA from 1 species